rnacentral:tRNA from 1 species
UAGAAUGAAGCUCGCUGGUUGGAGUUUUUAGCUGUUAACUAAGUUUUUACGGGAUCGAGGCCCGUCUUUCUAG